AACCGGCGAUAAAAAUCCAGAACCAAUCGCCCGCACGUAGCGCUAGGUCUCCUGCCCUCGAACGAGAAACACUCGCACGCACGAAUCUCUGCUCUCGUUCGCCCGCCGCCGCCCUUCGUCCCUUCGCCGAACCCUAGAAGCGGAGGAGCGGUGGCGGUGGUGAACCCUAGAAGCGGAGGAGCGGUGGCGGUGGUGAACCCUAGAACCCUAGAACCCUAGAAGCGGAGGGAUCGGGGGAGGAGAUGGGGGGCGGGCAGCGCCGGGAGCCGGGGAGGAGGUGGGGGGCUGAAGCUCCCACCAUUCAUCCCCACCUCAGGAGGGCCUCGUUGGAUGUGGUAGCGGCCGACCGGCCGUACUCGUCGGAUGCCUCGAUGGGGGCGUCUCCGCUUCCUAGAUCCGGGUCGGAGACUCUGACGCAGAGGCCCGCAAGGGAGAAGCAGAGGGUGGAGGAGGAGCGGAGUCCAUGGAGGAAAGCAGGCGACGGCUACAGGUAGGCGCUCAGCUUGCCCUACUGUGUAGUUCAGUGCGUCACCGUAGGGACAGGAGCACCGCCACCGUCUCCAGGUACGUCCUCGACCAGGUCGUGCUCGGGCUGCCCUCGGGCAUGCCCAUGCCAUAGAUCAGGUCAUGAUCUCAUGGUUGAAUGCCUUCCGAGGUCUCCCUGAAGUCUGAUCUGAUGCCCUUGUUGAACCCAUCCCUUACUCUCCGCCAGCUGGGUCUCAUUCGAUGUUGAUGCUUGCUACCAUAGUGUGCUUCAGGAGAUCAACAGCAUGCUGAGAUGGAAGCAACUAAAAGCAUCAGUUUUGCCAUUACACGACGACAUGCAAAAGUAGCACGUCAUCAAUCACACCUGACAACACAUACAAAAUCCAUUAAUUUGCAAUUCUUCAGUUGACGCACUUGAACAAAAGCAUCAGUUUUCUACAUUGUGACGAUCACAAGCAUCUAAUUAUGCUUCUCAAAGUUUGUAAUCAUGUGAUGCAUCCUUGAAAUCAGUUUGUUCUCCACCAUUGAGUAUCAUACUCCUUCCAUCCCAAAAUAAGUGUCUUAACCUUAGUAUAAUUUUAUACUAAACUUGGUACAAAGUUGAGACAUUUAUUUUGAGACGGAGGGAGUACAUGAUACAUCAAUGUGUUAGGUAUAAAUUGCCUGCACUAAAACAUGUACGGCAACCAAACUGCCACAUUCAUUCAGUACAACUCAUCCUGCUUCAGCAUCGAAGUUUUGAGGGGCCAUGAGAGCAGAGGUAGCCAAGUCGUCGUCACAUUAAGGCAGAGUGAGGACGUAAUUAGCUCAUUAGGAGGAGUUCAAUUGUUUCCCCAAAUUUCCUUCCACGAUUUUGUAACCCUUUGCAGAAUUGCAUGGGGAGGUUCGUAACAUUGUCUACUCAUCUGAUAGGAAAUCAGUAUCUAUUGUCUAUCAUGUGACUAUGGAACUGAUGCAGAGUACCCUUCUUUGCAUGGGAGUUAUAUGUGGUUCAGUUUGCAGAAUCUUGUUUGGUUUUACAUUGAUCUUGCAUGCUCAGUUUUUGGGCGUAUAACCAGUUUGUAGGUCCUACUAUUUGAUCUGUGGACGUGACCAGUGAGGGCAUGGAGAUUAUGGCGAGGCAUGGUGAUGCGGUGGCAGUGGUGAAGGUAACCACAUCGAAGGCAGCGGCAAUGGGUGGUUGUCGAUGAAAGCAGCAUGGGGAUGGGGGAGGUGGAGAGGCGAGGGAUGGAGGCGGAGGACGGCAGCCAGGGAGACGGAGUGGCAGUGAGAUUGGACGAGCUCGCUUGCGGAGUGCGUGGGCAAGAUUUCCUUUCCGGGUUGGACGAGGGCUUCUUUGUUUGUGUGUGUGUGCAUGUGUGAGUUCACACCGAUACUCGACCAAAUACUGUGCAUGGUUAUCUGAAAUUCUAGACAAUAGUUCACAUCCCAGUGGCAGAAGUUGAUGCUCCAUCUUGUUAUUCAUUUCCUGGGAUCAUUUCUCGAGGAAUGUAUGGAUUUCUCGAAGUGACGCAAUGCUAUGAUCUUCAAUCAUGAAAAUGAAACUGUCAGUGCUGAUGGCCUGCUCCUGUGAUCUCAUAGCAUUGUGUCAAGGAGCAGGUGGAGAGGGAGAAAGAGAAAGGGAGAAUGGAAGCCAAGUGAUAGACAAAGAGAGUGAAAGCUUCUGUUGAACUCUCAUGGUUGGAGAUACUGCAAGAAUUCUGAUUCGGCACGGCCCUCAUGGAGACAAUGGAGAUGGUGUUCAGUGGUGCGCUCAGCCAGAGUUCGUCGUACGUCCGACAUUUGCUGAUUCGGCAGGGCCCUCAUGGAAACAAAUCCAUGAAAGACGCAUUGGAGCACCAGGUCAAGAGCAAGGCCUUUUUCAAGAUACUAACCUAAAUGCUGAAAUACUUCGUUGUUGCCACUUUUAGUGUAGCUGUACUGAUGCAGAUAAGCUAAAAAUCUCUCUUGCCUUCUCUUUGAUGCCCUGAUGACUUGUGUGCUUAAUUAUUAAGUAAAUUACAUUAUGGCGCAUGUUAUUUCCCAUGUCGCCAUAGGGCAUUGUUCUUUUGGGACAUGCAUAGGGGUGCUUUGUACCGGUACGUAACUUCAUGCUGAAAACAAGAGCAACGUGUUUUCUUUGUAGGUCAGAAUUAUUAACAAGAUAUGAAGAAUUAACCUGUUAAUUUCUUUGCAAAGGAAUUGGCCAGUUAGUAUUUUACUAAAUAACUAUGGACUAGCUACUAUUUUUACAAUGGGUUGCUUAUUAGACUAGGGACGUGUGAUAUCUUUCUCCCGUUGCAAAGCUAAACCACGUCAUGUCAUCUUUGUAGUUUACAUAUUUUUUAGAUGUGUUGGCACACAUUUUGAGGCAUCAUUUUCUUUCAAGUCGUUCAUCAUCAUUGGUCCCAUUCUGCACAAGACUAUCGAUGAUACCACUCUGCAUUGGACCUACACAAUCAUCAAUUUUACCAAUGUCACAAAUGUUCAGGGCGCAGAGAAACUAAUGGAGCAACCAGGAGUCCAAUCAUUUUAAGGCAGAACAUUGAACAUAUCAGUGAUCGGACACUCGAGACAACUCUUAAUGAGUUCUAGCAACCGAAGACAGAAUAUUUGUGUAGGAUGCAACAAAGUUGCAUGUCAUGAGAUUAUUGAAUACGUUGAGUAAUUUGGAAUGGAAACAUUUUUGGUUAAAUAGGAUGCUCUUGAGAUUAUUUCUCAUGCCAACAUGGCAUGCCCGAGCUAAAAAUGUGCCACCCUUUGACAGGACCAUGCCUUGUUAGAGGAGGUUUCUGGUUGGAUAAAUGAGAAGGCCAUGAUGCCUAUUUGGGCUAAGAUGACUCCUAACAUUGCAGGUAUUACAGAUGGAACUUAAGCUUCCAUAAUGCAUUUGUUGAGUAAUUAGCAGUCACAUAUCUUCUGUGUUUUUAAUUGCUAUACGGUGUCAACAAAUGAUGAGGUUCUAAAUUAUUAUUUUUAU